rnacentral:misc_RNA from 1 species
UCUCCGUAGGUGAACCUGCGGAGGGAUCAUUACAGAGUUCAUGCCCUACAGGGUAGAUCUCCCACCCUAUGUUAUUAUUACUUUGUUGCUUUGGCGGGCCGUUAGGCUCCGGCCCGACUACCGGCCCCGGCUGGUAAGCGCCCGCCAGAGGACCCAAAACCCUGAAUAUUAGUGUCGUCUGAGUACUAUAUAAUAGUUAAAACUUUCAACAACGGAUCUCUUGGUUCUG